rnacentral:tRNA from 1 species
AUAAAAGUAGUUAAAAAAUAACAUUAAGUUUGCACCUUAAAAUUAGAGCGUGCUCUCUUUUAUA